UACGUAGGUGGCAAGCGUUGUCCGGAAUUAUUGGGCGUAAAGCGCGCGCAGGCGGUCCUUUAAGUCUGAUGUGAAAGCCCACGGCUCAACCGUGGAGGGUCAUUGGAAACUGGGGGACUUGAGUACAGAAGAGGAAAGCGGAAUUCCACGUGUAGCGGUGAAAUGCGUAGAGAUGUGGAGGAACACCAGUGGCGAAGGCGGCUUUCUGGUCUGUAACUGACGCUGAGGCGCGAAAGCGUGGGGAGCAAACAGGAUUAGAUACCCCCGUA
rnacentral:rRNA from 1 species